AUGGUCCGAGUUCGAGUCGGGAUUGCCACCUAUAGCGGCGGAGAGCAGGCGGAGAGCGUCCCCAAUCCCUCUCAAGGAGAGCGGGUAUGCCUAGUCCCUUAUUUAAUAAGAGAACUUGGAUUUCCAAUUCAUCCGUUUCUCCGAGGGUUGCUGGAGUUCUACGGCCUCCAGCUACACAACCUCACGCCUGCCUCCAUUCUGCAUGUUGCGGGCUUCGUGGCCCUCUGCGAGCUGUUUUUGGGCAUCGAGGCCCAUUUCGCGCUGUGGAAAAGGUUGUUCUGCCUUGUGCCCCGCUCUCAGGAGGGGUCAAUUUAUGAAGUGGGCGGAGCCGAACUAUGGCGCAUCGCCGGGACCGGAUAUCUAUCCGGUACCCCACAGAAGGCGUCUGAGGACUGGCCUUCGGAAUGGUUUUAUAUGGACGACGUCCCCCUGCCGGACCCUGUUCGGAUCGGCCUUCUGAGUUUAGUAAUGCUCCGUUGA
rnacentral:rRNA from 1 species